rnacentral:sRNA from 1 species
AUAGUGACACGAAGGUGCAGUAUUCUAGUCAACUUACAACGAAUGAGAUGCUGAAAUAAGCAUUACUGGCACAACGAUGAAGUUUCUGGUGCUGGCUUUGAUUGCCCAAAUCGGGGCUGGUGCUGGAAGUUAAGAUUUUUGGGUAGCAUAUAACGGCAUAUAUGCCAACUCCCAAUUAUCGUGGAGACCCACGAGGUGAUGAGACAAAAUGAGUUUGUGUAUUUACCAACUGGAUUAGGAACCUGCAUAUGACGAAAGUUAUGUGCAGUGUAGCCUGCUUUGAGUGUUUCUCUCGGGAUUAAACUUUUGUUUAUGAAAUUGGAUUCGCAAAACCAAGAUAAGUUCGUUCGAUGUUGUAAAGGAAAUCUUCUAGACUGUUCGCUCGCGUGAUGCAUUGGGGAUUAUAGUGUGGUCUCAGUGGUGAUUCGGUGCAAGUUUCGCAUAAAGGGAAACCGCUUGGCUGGUAACGGGCAAGUGCGAAAUUGGGAAAUCCAACCGAACCUUAAGCCGCAAGGUUUACUCUUUGCAUUACCUUC